rnacentral:tRNA from 2 species
GGAGAGGUGCCAGAGUGGUAAUGGAGCAGAUUGCUAAUCUGUCAGCGCGUAAGUGCUGCCCGGGUUCGAGUCCCGGUCUCUCCGCAA